AGGCCCCGGUUGAAUUAAAAAUUUAAAAUCCUGGCUGGAGAGGGGUUCUGGCAAAGCUCUGCCAUGGUUUUAUUGAGGAAAUCGCGGGGUUUGAGGCUGAUUCAGGGAUCCUGCUCCUCUAAUUGCCUUUACAGCGCUGAUAAACAGGACACGGCGCUAAUUAGCGAGCCAGGAGCUUCGCCCCAAAUAAAUGAGUUCCCUGGGCAAAUCCCUGAAGGAGCUGCUUGCUGAGAAUCCGGGAUUUUCUCCCUUUAAAUUCCCAGAUUUCUCUCGGCGAAGAGAAACCCGGAGCUGGGAUCUGUGUGCUCGGGAAUUCUAUUUAUGGCCCGACCAUGACAUUAAUAUUAAAUUACACAUCGAGUGAUUUCACUGGGAUUUUUUUUUUUUUUAAUCUUUAACCUUUCUGCCCCAGAUUCGCCUUCUCGGCGGAUGCUGGAAAUGACGAAUUAAUUCAGGUGGUUUGUGGCGGAGCCGAUUUUUCUCCUUGCCGGAGGAACCCAGCGGAAAAUGGAGGCUGCAAGCAGCAAUUACGUGCUCGGCGUUGGCAAGGAGGAGGAUUCGCUUCGGAGGGGAAAAACCAACACCCAGCAGCAGAAAUUCUGUUUGCAGAAACAGAGCCACUGCACAUCAAUCAGCAGCACGGAUCACUAAUGAAUUUUUAAUUCCUUGUGGAAGCCAUCAGGGCUGAACCUUCCCCAUCCAGGGCAGAUCUUUAAUGGAUUUUUGGCAUCCCGGGGUAAAAUCCUGCAGCUCCUCAGGAUCCUCGUGGAAAUGCUGCCCCGGGCCCUGGGCCAGCCCGGCAAUCAUUCAUGGCAAUUUUUGGCCCAGGUCUCCACCUUGUUUAUUCACCUGAGGACUGAGCGAGUUUUUCCUGCCCUGCCCUGGUUUCUCAAGGAGGAUGAGAUGAUUAAACCCAGCGUCAAUCCUCUUAUGGUGAGGAAAUUUCCCAGCACCUGAAAGGCCCUUUAUGAAAUUUGUCUUCAUUAAGACACCACGGAAGUUUUACACACCAAAUAUUAAUUACUAAUAUAGAAUAGCAUAGAAUAAAUAGAAUAUUUUGAUGAUAUUAAUCCA
rnacentral:lncRNA from 1 species